rnacentral:miRNA from 1 species
GAAGAUAAAAGAGUGGAGAGCCAAUAGUGUAAAAUGCUUAAAACAAUAAAAAUGAGUAAAAACUAAUUUUUAUUGUUUUAAGCAUUUUACACUAUUGGCUCUCCACUCUUUUAUCUUCUAUAUACG